UUAAUAGGGUUUUUCUCUACAACCCCAUCAUGAUUUCAUCAUCAGAUAAUAAUGGCGAUGGAGACGAAGAAGACGACGACGAAAGCGUAAACACAUAUCAUUGUGUUUUCGUUUAUUGCUUCAGUGAUUUACCAAAGGUUUACCCGCACUUGGGCAACAUUAUUUACAUCUCCUGAACCCUGGAUCUGGUUGUCUCAGGCUUCUUUCUUCGUGUGCCGAGUAUUUGUCAAGUCAUGCUAUCAAAUAACGGUUCAGGGCAUGUUCAAAGUUCUCGCGCUGAAGACAAUGAUGCUUAAAAAUGUCUGGAACUGGGACAUUGCAUUGACUAAGUUAUUGUGCAUGAUGACGACUCUGUUGGCAGGAGGAAUGGGAGAAUGAGGUUUUCAGAUUUUCUAUGGGUCAGGAGGAAUGGGAGAAUGAGGUUUUCCGAUUUUCUAUGGGUCAGGAGGAAUGGGAGAAUGAGGUAUUUCAUCGCAAACACUUCCCAUUUUAUUUCAAGCACGGUUGUACUUGGUGUCGUGAUUUAUCUAUGUGGGGCUUGAAGAUGCAUAACCAGAUGCCAUUUAUUGAUCUUUGAUGACUGUUUGAUUGUCAUUCUGACUCUUGAUGGUUCUGAACGCAGGCUUCUAGUGAAAUGCCUUCUUACUUCAAAAUUGUAACUGUCCUUGAGGGGUUUAGAAACGACAUGAUAGCUAACUUCUGCCCACUGUUCCAACUGAGAUUCGACUCUAAGGAACUUGGCAAAAAAAUUGUUUUAUAGGGACAAGAUGGAGGGUGGGACAGAGGGAAAGAUAGCUGAUUUGUUGCUCAUUUAGAAGAUUGUGAUAUCAUUUCCUUAUAUUUGACGCCCUCCUUUGUCAUAAAAGAGGAAGCACGUGUAUAAAGUUCUAUAAAUACAAACCAUAAAUGAUUAUUAAACUAACCAUAAAUUUAACACUCUUUUUCUUUUUAUAGAAAGAAGUAACCACUCUAUUGCAUUCGUUUUAGUUGCGUCCCCAAUUGUCAGUUUUGAUAACAUACAAAACCAGCUUUGAGAAUUCAAAGAGAUUGACAAAUGCAGAAUAAUGUUAAACCUUGUCAUAAAAUACUCUCUCACAUCAUAUACAUGUAUAGAUCUCGGUACCUGAGAUACACAAGAAGUAAUGAAACAACAGCCCGGUCCGUCAUGGAUCUCUACAAAUAUAUAGACAAGAUGUCUAGUUUAUUGGCUUCUGAACUUAUUAAUGACUUAAGAGUUUGGAGGAUCAGAACACGCACUUUUGCUGAAAACCUUACAACAAAUAUGCACACAACAAGCACAAGCUGAAUUUUAUUAAUUUUAGUGGAUUUUGACUUCAAAGUAGAAUAAAGAGAGACUUCUAAAGCCUAUGAGGUCAGGUGGACAUCAAGUAAACAGAAGAUCUAGACACAUAAAUCAUGGGUUGUAAAGGCAAUAGGAGAACAUACCAGGUUUUUGAGUGGAUCAAACCAAAUAAGGAAUUCAUUAACGGGCUCCCCAACCUUCAAUGGAGUGGAGAGGUAUUGCGUCUCUUGACCUGGACCAAGUCCUUGAACAUGCUCUGCCAAGGUGUGAGGCAGAUGCUUCUAGGAUCAAACAGCGCCCUUUUGACCAAUGACAAAAAGGUAGAUGAAUCCACAAGGAGUGAUGGGAAUUUGGAAUCCACAUAUCUAGUAGCUUCUAAUUAAGGUAUUUUCACCCCAUUUACUAACAUUAACUGGUACAAUCACCGAUCUUCAGGUAAUAAUAUGUUUCCAAGUAUUGCCAAGUUUUGGGUGUUACGGAUUUUAUAUUGCAAUAAAGUUUCAUGGUUCCUUAUGAUGAUAAGAAAUUUUAAGGGUUUGCAAUUGCGUUUUUCUAUUAGUCAUGCUAUCAUGUUGUAUGGUGCUAAGUUGCCCCAUAUUCUCACUUUUCCAUUAUCAUAUUGAUUGAUUUUAAUUAGCUGACCCCAUAUCGUAUCUCUGAAGUAAUCGCCGCACUUGGCUCUUAUUUUAAUCACCUCUCUUUUCUCUGAAGUUAUAGGUUGCACUUGGCUUUUAUUUUAAUCACCUCUCUUUUAUCGUUUUGUUACUGAUUGGGUAAUGAUUGCAGAAGAAAGGACCUCUAGGGUUUCUCCCAAUGGUCGCAACAAGCGGAGGAGAGUUCCAUCAAAUCAGACUGUGUCCAUAGUGAUCUUUACAUUAACCUGGAGGUUUCUAGCGGUUCUAUGAAGAAAGGACCUCUACGGUUGCUCCCAAUGGUUGCAGCAAGCAGAGGAGAGUUUCAACAAAUCAGACUGUGUCCAUAGUGAUCUUUACAGUAACCUGGAGGUUUCUAACGGUUCUAUGAAGAAAGGACCUCUAUGGUUGCUCCCAAUGGUCGCAGCAAGCGGAGGAGAGUUUCAACAAAUCAGAUUGUGUCCAUAGUGAUCUUUACAUUAACCUGGAGGUUUCUAGCGGUUCUAUGGCUUCUUUCACGGUGCGCUGAUUAUUUGUUUUCAAAUUCGAAUGUAGUUUCAGAGUAUGUUCUAAGUUCAUGCUGUAAAGAAAUCAUUGCUGCUGUAUGUAAUUACUGGCAUUGGUGGAGCUAUUGUGAAGUGAUGGUGUCCAGCUUACCUUAAGUAUGCAGCCUAGUGUGCCCGGUUUUUAUCUCAGACACUUGCGAGAGUAACUAGACCGCAGCGAUUGCUCUCAAGGAGAUUGCUAAAUGUCAAGACCCAACAUUGUACUGCAGGUGGAUAUCAAGAAUGCUGAAGACAGAGACAGAAAACAUGGGUCCUAAUGGCAAUGUGAUGUAUACCAUGUUUUUGGGUGGGCCAGACCCGGCUAGCAGUUCAUCACUCAAGAAUAAUGUCAGAUUGACAUCUCUUGGGGCUACUAGUUAAGGCACUUCCGUCCCAUUAAUACGUUUCUAAAUCUUUGAAAUUACUGUUCCGUAUGGUAUUGCUAUGGGAUUUGUAAAUUUUGUUUGGUAAUUCCACUCAUCAACUAGGAGCAGUCUUGCUGGUUUAAUUCCACUUGUGUAGUCGCACUGUUAACUUGAAUCGAACUACUGUUUGUGCAGUAACUUACAUGUAAUAAGAGUUUCAAAGUGUAAGUUCA